GUCCCUGUAGGGCAACGGAUAGCGCGUUGGACUUCUUAGCCAAAUGUCGUGGGUUUGAAUGCCACCUGGGAUG